rnacentral:rRNA from 1 species
GAUGAACGCUAGCUACAGGCUUAACACAUGCAAGUCGAGGGGCAUCAGGAAGAAAGCUUGCUUUCUUUGCUGGCGACCGGCGCACGGGUGAGUAACACGUAUCCAACCUGCCCUUUACUCGGGGAUAGCCUUUCGAAAGAAAGAUUAAUACCCGAUAGCAUAAUGAUUCCGCAUGGUUUCAUUAUUAAAGGAUUCCGGUAAAGGAUGGGGAUGCGUUCCAUUAGGUUGUUGGUGAGGUAACGGCUCACCAAGCCUUCGAUGGAUAGGGGUUCUGAGAGGAAGGUCCCCCACAUUGGAACUGAGACGCGGUCCAAACUCCUACGGGAGGCAGCAGUGAGGAAUAUUGGUCAAUGGGCGCUAGCCUGAACCAGCCAAGUAGCGUGAAGGAUGAAGGCUCUAUGGGUCGUAAACUUCUUUUAUAUAAGAAUAAAGUGCAGUAUGUAUACUGUUUUGUAUGUAUUAUAUGAAUAAGGAUCGGCUAACUCCGUGCCAGCAGCCGCGGUAAUACGGAGGAUCCGAGCGUUAUCCGGAUUUAUUGGGUUUAAAGGGAGCGUAGGUGGACUGGUAAGUCAGUUGUGAAAGUUUGCGGCUCAACCGUAAAAUUGCAGUUGAUACUGUCAGUCUUGAGUACAGUAGAGGUGGGCGGAAUUCGUGGUGUAGCGGUGAAAUGCUUAGAUAUCACGAAGAACUCCGAUUGCGAAGGCAGCUCACUGGACUGCAACUGACACUGAUGCUCGAAAGUGUGGGUAUCAAACAGG